rnacentral:tRNA from 7 species
CGCUAUGGUGAAAUCGGUAGACAC